rnacentral:tRNA from 1 species
GGCCUCGUAGCUCAAUUGGUAGAGCGCCGCACUGUUAAUGCGGAAGUUCCGGGUUCGAGUCCCGGCGAGGCCG